GACGAACGCUGGCGGCGUGCUUAACACAUGCAAGUCGAACGGAAAGGCCCUGCUUUUGUGGGGUGCUCGAGUGGCGAACGGGUGAGUAACACGUGAGUAACCUGCCCUUGACUUCGGGAUAACUUCAGGAAACUGGGGCUAAUACCGGAUAGGAGCUCCUGCUGCAUGGUGGGGGUUGGAAAAUUUCGGCGGUUGGGGAUGGACUCGCGGCUUAUCAGCUUGUUGGUGGGGUAGUGGCUUACCAAGGCUUUGACGGGUAGCCGGCCUGAGAGGGUGACCGGCCACAUUGGGACUGAGAUACGGCCCAGACUCCUACGGGAGGCAGCAGUGGGGAAUAUUGCACAAUGGGCGGAAGCCUGAUGCAGCAACGCCGCGUGCGGGAUGACGGCCUUCGGGUUGUAAACCGCUUUCGCCUGUGACGAAGCGUGAGUGACGGUAAUGGGUAAAGAAGCACCGGCUAACUACGUG
rnacentral:rRNA from 1 species